CUGGCAAAUUGCGCAGCCUAGUCUUAUUCCUCCCUCUCUCUCUCAUUUUUUCCUUGGUACUGUGUUCCUAAGUUCUGAAAAUUCGAGGCUUCCUUCUACAUUUUCUCUGCUCCUGAGUGAGAUGCUGUGGUGCGGCGCUCUCUUGCGGUGAAGCAAAUUCCUUGCUGCAGUGUGCGGGUGUCGGUGUUGCCGUUGCUGAUCCCGUCGACGGCGUCAGUUUGUGCCGCUGCUGGGUGCGAGUGCUGUGCAACAAGAAAUUCCAGUUUUUUCUGUACUAGAGUGGGAGGUGCGGCAUCACGUGGUCGAGGACCUGUUGAGUUGGGGAUGGUCCAAGUCGGCGAGCUGCGGUCAAACUCUCCUUUAAUUGAUCUCUUUUCCUCUUCCGCACUGUGUCCGACAGCGUGCAGCAAUCUGUCCUGCUCCUGUGAAGUAGCAGCGGUGAUCAACAUUCCCUUAAUUUCUGUGGCAGUCUCUUCUCAACGAUUACUUGCGCAAAACUUAUGGUUGAUGUUGAAUGAAGUCGCUUCCAUAUUUUGGAAAUAUAGAGUGGCAUCAGUGUUGUUAGUGGUAACAUAGAACCUUAAAGGUGGCUGGAAAAAGGAUAUUCAAGACAUAGAGGUUUUCAAAUCCAGAAGGAACAACUGUUGGAGUGGAGCUUCGAAGGGAGGAGCUGCUUGGUCGGAGUAUAGGGAACAAACACCAACUUCAAGUAGGAUCGUUACGUGGAAAUAUUCCUUCAAGUACAAGGAAUAUUUCCACGUAAGAUAAUUGAUUCUAUUAAACAACAAUUGACUAGGGGAUGCUAGGGUUGGGAUGAAGUUAGGUUAGGGUUGAAGGAAUCCAAAUUGGAUGAAAUUAUUAAACAAGGAUGAUUAUAUAUUGCAAAUGAAUUUUGUGGAUAAAUUUUAUUAUGGAUGAAAUAUUAUUCAAGGAUGAGUUUUCAUUCUUGGAUGAAAUUUUAUUAA